UACGAAGGGGGCUAGCGUUGCUCGGAAUCACUGGGCGUAAAGGGUGCGCAGGCGGGUCUUUAAGUCAGGGGUGAAAUCCUGGAGCUCAACUCCAGAACUGCCUUUGAUACUGAAGAUCUUGAGUUCGGGAGAGGUGAGUGGAACUGCGAGUGUAGAGGUGAAAUUCGUAGAUAUUCGCAAGAACACCAGUGGCGAAGGCGGCUCACUGGCCCGAUACUGACGCUGAUGCACGAAAGCGUGGGGAGCAAACAGG
rnacentral:rRNA from 1 species